AGAAAACCCUUCCUCAGAAUCCAUGCUUCUAAGAGACAUUGAUAUUGUUAAUUCCAACUCAUUCCCAGUUGGUGAAAUUGGAUCAACUUUCAAUUCAGAGCUUUUAACUCCAAGGUUUCAUGCAAAUGGUGUCUCUCUCACUCUUGCCCUUCCUCAUAACAAUUCAGAUCAUCUCUCACUUUCACCCAACCAAACAAAUUACCAUCAUCUCUCUUCCAACCAAAACCUUCACUUAGGUAGAUCAUCAAGGCUUGAUAUCACCAAUCAUCAUCCUGGACCACCCGAUUUCUCCGACGUCAAUCCCACUGCCCCGCCCUCCUACGACCACGUCGAUAUGCAAACCACCAAAAGGUUCGCCGCCCAGUUAUUGC
rnacentral:lncRNA from 1 species